rnacentral:lncRNA from 1 species
GAGUUAUCUUUCUUUGUCCAGAAUAGUAGUUGAAUCAACUUAAAUCAUUGUUUUAUACAAUAUACAAUGUAUAUUCACUUUUACUACCAACUGAUAGAUUAAAACAAUCUUUACCAUUCAGUGAUAACAAGCACUUUUUUUACAUUUUAAUAUUUUAUGAUGUAUUUAAAUGAGUAGUUAUUGUUGCAAACUUCAUUAGAAAUUUGAAUUGAGAUCAGUUUUGAAAUAAGGGAAAGGGGGAUGUGAAAAAAAAAUUGGAGGGUCAAUUUUUUUCAUUUCAGAUUUCAUAAAUAAAAAGAAAAUUUCUUCAAACAUUUUUUUGAGAGGAUUAAUAUUCAACAGCAUAGUGAAUUGCUCAAAGGCAAACAUUUUUUUUUAAGUUCAUUAGACCACAUUCAUUCUGUGUCAGAAACCUAUGCUGUGUCAACUAUUUAAUCACAAUCCAAAUUU